rnacentral:rRNA from 1 species
CCAAUAGCGUAUAUUAAAGUUGUUGCAGUUAAAAAGCUCGUAGUUGAAUUUCGGGAUCAGUAGGUCGGUCAUGCCUCAGGUAUGUACUGGUCUCACUGGUUCCUCCUUCCUGAUGAACCGUAAUGCCAUUAAUUUGGUGUUGCGGGGAAACUGGACUGUUACUUUGAAAAAAUUAGAGUGUUUAAAGCAAGCUAACGCUUGAAUAAAUUAGCAUGGAUUAAUGACAUAGGAUGUUCGAUCCUAUUUUGUUGGUUUCUAGGAUUGACGUAAUGAUUAAUAGGGAUAGUUGGGGGCAUUAGUAUUCAAUUGUCAGAGGUGAAAUUCUUGGAUUUAUUGAAGACUAACUACUGCGAAAGCAUUUGCCAAGGAUGUUUUCAUUAAUCAAGAACGAAAGUUAGGGGAUCGAAGACGAUCAGAUACCGUCGUAGUCUUAACCAUAAACUAUGCCGACUAGGGAUCGGAUGAUGUUAAUUUUUUAAUGACUCAUUCGGCGCCUUACG